rnacentral:lncRNA from 1 species
CAAAUGCUGGGAUUUCUCCAAUGUCCUCCAACAUUAGAUCAAUGCAAUUUGCAGCAUAUUAAGUCGAGUAGAAUUGCGGUCUUUUUGCUUCAAGCAAUUUUCCUAAAUUUAAAUGUAAAGUGUUAAAACAAAAAAAUAAAAACGUUGAAUAUAAAAUAUUGGUUCGGAUCAUACAUACCAGAUUUUAUGUAGUUCUUUGCAUUGUCUGUGAUAACUUGAACUACAUAAGCUUCUCCAAUCUCCUCAACCAUCUCAUCUAGCAUCUUAAACAACAAUGCCGCAUCUUUCACCACUUCUGAGACAUCUUUCAACUUCAUGAAAACAGAACCUUUAGGGGAAUUAACUAGGAAGUUGACAAUGUCUUUCUUAGCCACUGAAUCAUGCCAACCAUCAAACAUAAGUGAACAACCUUUACUAGCCCACUUGUUUUUGUUCUCCUCAAUUUGGACAAAGUGUUCUGCACUUCUUUAGUAAACAGUGGAACUCUUAAUUCAUACAUGUUUGGUGGUUUUAAUCGUACUCCAUAUUCCCCAAUUAACUUAAUCAUCUGCCAAAACUAGGACAGUUGACUGCAUUGAACACAAGACCAGCAUCCAAAACC